GCUCGUGUUGGUAGCUCAGUUGGGAAAGCGCAAGACUGAAGAUCUUGAGGUCCCUGGUUCGAUCUUGGGCGCGGGCA